rnacentral:rRNA from 1 species
AUGUUAGAUAGAUUGAACAAGAACGACGCCAGACUAACACCUUUUGCUGCAGUAUACUUUUGUGCUGCUGUUACGGCGAUGAUUCUGGGAAUGGUCGCUUGCAAGUUCCCCAUGUCAGCACCAUACUCGAUGAGCAUCGCUGGCCAUGGAGCAUUCCACGCAUUGCUGUUCAUGUUGCUGGGACUUCACUUCGACACCUAUAUCUAUCAUGCAAGUGCUUUUUUGGCUAUUGGGUGUGCUUGUGUUGGAGGUUUGCUGCUUCUUGUGUACUGGGGCUGUAGUACUGAGGAUCCCAUGGUUAUCUCCUUCUGUGUCAAGCACGCCAAAUCGGCAGGUUCAUGGAUAUGCUCAUUUAUUUGCUCCUCGUGGGGAAAGCUAGUCAACAAACUACAAAGCUAUAGGACCCGGGACCCUGCCAAUGAAACUACAAAACAGGAAGGAACCGAGAGCAUGCAGAAGCUGCUGAUUAAGGAUGGUGUGCCACCCGAUGUCUGA